CGUCCAUGCUGGGGAAAGUGGAGCUCUUCAUGCCCCUGAGCCCGGCCCCAGGUCCAUGAGCACAGGCGCUCCUGUGUCUGCUCGGGAACUCACUCUCUUUAUCUUACAUCCAGCUGUUGAUUCUUAUCCCUUAUCAUAUCCUUUAAUGAACUGGUAAACACAGGUUUUGGCUGAAACUAAAGCUGAGAAUGAUGUAUAAUAGCAUCUACACAUUCUAAAGAAAGAUGUUAGACACAUCCAUGUAGGAGUUGCUAAAAGAAAAAAAAAGUCCAGCCAUCAUCAUCAUCUGCCUCUAGUUUACUUCAGAGAAGACAAUAAAUUUAAAAAGAAAUUUUUAAAAAUGAAUUUGCAGAAAUAGAUGGGCUUUGACUCUUUUGCUCUCCUCUUCUCAAACCUGGCACCCAUGACAUAGACAUCUGUUAUUAUCCCUAUUUCACAGAGGAAGAUACCAUGUUUUAGAAAGGAACUUGACCAAGGUCGCAUAGGCCAGAGACAAAAGAGGAUUUACACCUUGGCUCAUCUGACUACAAAGUCUGUACUCCAACCAUUUGUGCUCUACCUGCCAGAAGAAUGCAGCCCAUGUGCCUAUAGACCCAGAGAACAGUCCACAAAAUGACAAAGGCACAGCCAGAUGUUGCUUUUUCGAAAUGGGAAAGGUCACUGGGAAAAUGAAGCUGCUUUGCAUCCUUCUUCACUUGAGACAAUGCCAAACUUGAGUGUGCUCAGAAGGGCUUUAUGCAGAGUGACUUCUCAUGUCGUGUAAAACAAAAACACUUGCCUUGGACUGUCGAUCUGCUUAAGACAUUUUGUUAGGUGAAUGAAAAGUAUAUGUAUUUGGAAGCUUACAUAUGUCCUUUUCAUAUUUAGUGUCCUGAAAAUCUCUGGGCUAGCCAGGGAAGACAAAGCAUGAAAACCACAGGCUGAGCCUGGAGCAAGACAGACUCUCCCUUACCUAUAUGUUCACCCUCACUUGCAUGGUAGGGACGGUGGUGCUGAGCAGCUGCACUGAGACAUCAAACAAUUUUUUGCACAAGCAGUCCUGUCUCUGAGCCGCAUCCCAUCAAUUUCUUGAACCCUCCAUUGUCAGAGACCGAAACCUUAAUUCUGCUACACAGCUUACAGCAAUGAAAUAGCUUCAGAAUGGAAAAUGGUUGCAGGAGACAAUUCGUUUCCUACUAUUCUCUUGGAUAAUGUCUAAUUUUUAAAAAGCAUGACUGACAUCCAGUUUUUGAGAACAAACAGCAGUUAACCAGCGACCUUCAAAUGAAUUUAUGGAGAGAAAAAUCAAACUCUUUUUAAACUAAUGCACACAAGAAUGAUUGAGAGGUCAAGAUGAAUGUCUUCUCUGGGAGAACGUCUGUUUUCUGGGGCAUAUUUGCUACUGUGACUUGUUUAUUUUGAACUAUCUAAGAGCACCAUAUAACACAGCUACAGAGUUCACUUUAAUUUCUUGAGGAUCUCACUGGAGAAAUCUCUGAUGCAUUGAAAGACUGGAACACUAAAAAAGGUUCUUUGUUGAUUUUAUCAUUUGAUAUAAAUGUAAUGAUGGUAAAUGCUAUUGAUGCAAUAGCAUCUACCACCUCCCUGCCUCUUCACCUUGGGCAAGGUGCACAACUCUUUUUGACUGGUUAUUGCAUACUCAUGUUGGGAAAUAAUAGAGAAAACAGAGAAAUAGGAGGAAUAAAAAUCAACUUUUUAAACUUCCCUCCUAAGGCUACACAGGAAAAUAUUAUAUUUUUUGGGGAGAGAGGGAGGUAAUGAGAAGAAUCACUUUCACAAUGUAUGCUUUUGUACCUGUUGAAUUUGUAAUCAUUUCAUGGAUGUCCUAUUCAUAAACCACCCCUUAAUAACAUAACAUUAAA